UACGUAGGGAGCAAGCGUUGUCCGGAAUCAUUGGGCGUAAAGCGCGCGUAGGUGGCCUCAUAAGUCCGCUGUGAAAGUCAAAGGCUCAACCUUUGAAAGCCGGUGGAUACUGUGAGGCUAGAGUACGGAAGAGGCGAGUGGAAUUCUUGGUGUAGCGGUGAAAUGCGUAGAUAUCAAGAGGAACACCUGCGGCGAAGGCGGGUUGCUGGGCCGACACUGACGCUGAGGCGCGAAAGCCAGGGGAGCGAACGGG
rnacentral:rRNA from 1 species